AGAGUUUGAUCCUGGCUCAGAACGAACGCUGGCGGCAUGCCUAACACAUGCAAGUCGAACGAAGCCUUCGGGCUUAGUGGCGCACGGGUGCGUAACGCGUGGGAACCUGCCUUUAGGUUCGGAAUAACUCAGAGAAAUUUGAGCUAAUACCGGAUAAUGUCUUCGGACCAAAGAUUUAUCGCCUUUAGAUGGGCCCGCGUUAGAUUAGAUAGUUGGUGGGGUAAUGGCCUACCAAGUCGACGAUCUAUAGCUGGUCUGAGAGGAUGAUCAGCCACACUGGGACUGAGACACGGCCCAGACUCCUACGGGAGGCAGCAGUGGGGAAUAUUGGACAAUGGGCGAAAGCCUGAUCCAGCAAUGCCGCGUGAGUGAUGAAGGCCUUAGGGUUGUAAAGCUCUUUUACUCGGGAUGAUAAUGACAGUACCGGGAGAAUAAGCUCCGGCUAACUCCGUGCCAGCAGCCGCGGUAAUACGGAGGGAGCUAGCGUUGUUCGGAAUUACUGGGCGUAAAGCGCGCGUAGGCGGCUAUUUAAGUCAGGGGUGAAAUCCCGGGGCUCAACCCCGGAACUGCCCUUGAAACUGGAUAGCUAGAAUCCUGGAGAGGCGAGUGGAAUUCCGAGUGUAGAGGUGAAAUUCGUA
rnacentral:rRNA from 1 species